rnacentral:rRNA from 1 species
CAGCCGCCGCGGUAAUACGGAGGGUGCGAGCGUUAUCCGGAAUUACUGGGUUUAAAGGGCGCGUAGGCGGCUUUGUAAGUCAGGAGUGAAAGUUUGCGGCUCAACCGUAAAAUUGCUUCUGAUACUGCAGAGCUAGAAUCAGGAUGAGGUCAGCGGAAUGUGGCAUGUAGCGGUGAAAUGCAUAGAUAUGCCAUAGAACACCAAUUGCGAAGGCAGCUGGCUAGACCUGUAUUGACGCUGAGGCACGAAAGCGUGGGGAGCGAACAGGAUUAGAUACCCUGGUAGUCCACGCCCUAAACGAUGCUUACUCGACGUAUGGCACUAGUUGUUGUGCGUCCAAGGGAAACCGUUAAGUAAGCCACCUGGGGAGUACGACCGCAAGGUUGAAACUCAAAUGAAUUGACGG